GAUGAACGCUGGCGGCGUGCCUAAUACAUGCAAGUCGAGCGAACAGAUGAGGAGCUUGCUCCUCUGACGUUAGCGGCGGACGGGUGAGUAACACGUGGAUAACCUACCUAUAAGACUGGGAUAACUUCGGGAAACCGGCGCUAAUACCGGAUAAUAUAUUGAACCGCAUUGUUCAAUAGUGAAAGACGGUUUUGCUGUCACUUAUAGAUGGAUCCGCGCCGCAUUAGCUAGUUGGUAAGGUAACGGCUUACCAAGGCAACGAUGCGUAGCCGACCUGAGAGGGUGAUCGGCCACACUGGAACUGAGACACGGUCCAGACUCCUACGGGAGGCAGCAGUAGGGAAUCUUCCGCAAUGGGCGAAAGCCUGACGGAGCAACGCCGCGUGAGUGAUGAAGGUCUUCGGAUCGUAAAACUCUGUUAUUAGGGAAGAACAAAUGUGUAAGUAACUAUGCACGUCUUGACGGUACCUAAUCAGAAAGCCACGGCUAACUACGUG
rnacentral:rRNA from 1 species